rnacentral:lncRNA from 1 species
GUACUUGGAAAACCAUAUACCUUCAUAUCUAAAGAAAAGUUUCCUGACUGUUUUCUUGUAGCCACCUUUCUUGAGAUGGAAGUUCAACCAUUCGAGUCAAAAUCACCAGCCCUGCACAUGAACAGACUACUAUAAUAAAAAGGAAAUAGUCAAGCUUAAUAUUCUAAAACUCAGAAAUGCAACAGAUCUCACUCAUGGAGCUGCGAUUCAUGAGGAUUACAUUUCCAGACCUCUAUGAAUUCUCUAUUGAUGCUCAGAAUGUAUCCAAAAUAGAAGAAAAGGAUUCACCAGUGCAUAAAUAACGAUGAGCUGAAGUUGGUAAAUCGAUAUCAAAGGUCAUCAAAUCAGUUUAGUAUAAACAAAAUAGGUUUAAACAUGUACUCAUUAGUAGUUGCAUCAUAUUAAUUUGGUAAAUUGUACAGGUCUAUAUUUUGAAUCAUAAUAUGACACUCCUAAACAGUUCUUGGAUGACUAUUUCUAAUAUCGUUAGCAUAGAAAAGAGAGGAGAACAUGUGAACGUGAGGUUAAAGAAAUGGCAAAUCUUCAAAAUAGCAACUUUCUAAGUUUAUAUCACAAAAAUAGCACUCAAAAACUAAAAUGACCAAAAUAGCAUUAUAUCUUUUCAAAAUUUUAAUUUUUUUAUUUUUCAAAAUUUGAAAUCUUAUCCCCAAAAUCUCAUUUCUCAACUCUAAACCUUAAACCCUAAAUUAUAAACCCUAAACCCUAAACCCUAAAUCCUAAUCCCUAAACCCUAAACCCUAAAUUCUAAAUUCUAAACCUUAAACCCUAAAUCCUAAACUCUAAACUCUAAACCCUAAACUCUAAACCCUAAACCCUAAACCCUAAACCCUAAAUUCUAAACCCCACCCUUUAACUCUAAACUCUAAAUUUGUGACUUUAGAUAAAACAUUAAGUGUUAUUUUGUGACUUUUGACCUUGAGUGAUAGUUUGAGAACAAAAACUUGAUUUAAUGCUAUUUUUGUCUUUUUCCGUUAAAAGAAACAUAUCUACUCUGGAGGAGAGGCUCUGUUUCUUCACAUAUGAAAACAAAAACAAAACAACAAGGCAGUGACGAUUCUUUUUAAUUACCACUAAAACAAAAGUUAAAUAUUAAGAAGAAGCAUUAUAAAAGAAUCAUAGGCAUUGCAGAAAACAGAGUGAGACUGACUCGCUGGUGAAAUUGAUGAAGGAGCUGAAGCUAAAGACCCAGAGAGGAAGAGGAGAAUGAUGAUACCCAGAAGCAGAAAGUAAUCCCUUUUCUUCAUUGAAGUCACAUAUUGUGUCUACCUUGAAACAUCUCCGUGCUUUGAUUCUAGGAACCGAUGAUGCAUACACAAAAAAAAAAAGAUGAAUACAAUUUGAUUCAACUUGCAAUCAACUCGAAAUCCCUAAUUUCGCUUCUCAAACAAAAACCCUAAUCAUUACCCAACGAAACCAAAUUUAAAUUCCAACGAGAUUCACAAACUUCAAAUCAUUACAAAAAAAUACAAAGAAUUCGAACCUUCAAGAUGAUUUCAUGGAUGGAUUUGGAGAAGGAGAGAAGACGAGAUUUCUCACACAAAAAAAACCGACGAAGAGAGAGACGACCAAUAGAAACAAGAAGCCAAUAUGCGUGUGCCACGUAGGCGGUUCUUACCAAUUCUACUUACCCUUAAUUUAGCACCGGUUCUAACUAAUUAAUGCUUUUUUCAUUUAUUUUUUUUGCAUUUUUACUUUAGAACUCUUCCCUAGACACACCGAUAGAGGUGUUCUUAGAGCCAAAAUGGGAAAUGAGAUAUUCACA